UGGAGGAAGGUGGGGAUGACGUCAAGUCAGCGACUGGCCUUACUCCGGGGCUACACACGUGCUACAAUGGCCGGUACAAAGGGUUGCGAAGCUGUGAAGUGAAGCUAAUCCCAAAAAGACCGGUCUCAGUUCGGAUUGGAGUCUGCAACUCGACUCCAUGAAGUUGGAAUCGCUAGUAAUCGCGUAUCAGCAUGACGCGGUGAAUACGUUCCCGGGCCUU
rnacentral:rRNA from 1 species